UUGUUUUUGUCUUGAAAAUUUGUAUAUGCGUACGAUGUACCUAUACGUAACAUAAACAAAAAAAAAAAAAAAAAAUUGUCUAACAUUUCAUUUUGUUAAUUGUUACAUACUUAUUUAAAUUUAUACACUUUAUAUUUAUCCCCUCGCACCCCACAAAAAAAAAAAAAAAAAAAAAAAAAAAAAACAUGAACAUUGACAAAUUAGAUUUAUUGUAUACCCAUAGCCAUAGCAGAAUAAGCAGCUUACUUAAAGAUCAAAAGUAUAAAGAUGGCAACAAAAAUAUGACAUUAAAUGAUUUAUCAUUAAAAGAACAAAUGGGUCAACAUAAAGAUGUAUAUAUGAUCAAACAAAAUAAAACAUGUGGCAACCAAGACGAUGAAAUUAAAAUAAGCUUGGACGACAAAAUAAGCUUGGACGACAAAAUAAGCUUGGACGAUAAAAUAAACUUAGACGAUAAAAUAAACUUAGACUAUAAAAUAAACAACAGUCAAAAAAAAAAUUUAUUGAUAAAUAAUAAUACCAAAACAAAACAAAUUUUAAAACACGAUUUUUAUAGUAGAUUAAAAUCAAAUAAUGUGUUUAAUGGAUAUACAAAAGAAAUUGCAACAGUCCCUACAUUAAUACAUAGUGACUAUAAAACAGUCAUAAACCAUCAUACUUUUUGUGCAAAUUAUAAUUCUAACCCAAAUGAAUACAUCUCAAAAACAGAUGGUACAAAAACAAAUGACACAAAAACAGACGACACAAAAACAGACGACACAAAAACAAAUGACACAAAAACAAAUGACACAAAAACAAAUAACACAAAAACAAAUGACACAAACACAAAUAACAAUCUAGUAUUAAAUAACAAAUCGGAAUAUGACCAUCCUUUUUAUAAAAAUUUUAUUACUGAUUUGGAUACAACCAGUAACAAAAUUUAUACCGUAAACAAUAGAGAUAAUAUAAAACAAAACAUACCUGACCAUUCACUACGUAACAAACAAAUAACAACGAAAAAGAAAAAGAAAAAGAACACUAUAAAUAAAAAUAAUUAUAAUACAAACGAAAUAAAAGAAAGUUGUACAACAAACUAUGUAUGUUAUUCAAAUAUAAGUGACACCGAUGGCUUGAGCUUAAACGAAUUCAAAUCUCUUUAUGAUCCAAUUGUUACUAGAGAAAAGGGAAUAAAACUAGGUAACAACAAUGGUGAUUAUACCUAUAGUGAUUGUGACAAUAACAGUGGCGACAUUACCGAAAACAGCAGUUCUGAGUUAAAUAUAAAAAGUAAGUGGUUACUAAAAAAUAAUUUAUUCACGAAUAAUACAUCCACUAAAUCUUUCGACCGUUACAACAUAAAUGAAACAUAUAAUAUUAAUGUUAAUCAAAAUAAUGAGUUAAUAAUGUUUACAAAUAGAGAUUCCGAUUUGAUACCACAAACACGUGCCCAUCACGUUAAGAGUAAACAUGACAUUAUGUUAAGCGCCAAACACAGUAACAACAAAAUAGUUGUAAAUAACAAAAAUGAGCAAAAAAAACUUGGUAAACAUUUUUUUAAAGUAGAAUUUAAUCAAAAUGGUAUUGCAUGCAAAC
rnacentral:lncRNA from 1 species